rnacentral:ncRNA from 2 species
CACUAGCCCCGAUGGCAGUGGAAAUCCUUUUGUGCCGGUGUUCGGCACAAAAGAUUGAAGCGAACAGCGGGAAAAAGC